GACGAACGCUGGCGGCGUGCUUAACACAUGCAAGUCGAACGGAAAGGCCCUGCUUUUGUGGGGUGCUCGAGUGGCGAACGGGUGAGUAACACGUGAGUAACCUGCCCUUGACUUUGGGAUAACUUCAGGAAACUGGGGCUAAUACCGGAUAGGAGCUCCUGCUGCAUGGUGGGGGUUGGAAAGUUUCGGCGAUUGGGGAUGGACUCGCGGCUUAUCAGCUUGUUGGUGGGGUAGUGGCUUACCAAGGCUUUGACGGGUAGCCGGCCUGAGAGGGUGACCGGCCACAUUGGGCCUGCGAUACGGCCCAGACUCCUACGGGAGGCAGCAGUGGGGAAUAUUGCACAAUGGGCCGAAGCCUGAUGCAGCAACGCCGCGUGCGGGAUGACGGCCUUCGGGUUGUAAACCGCUUUCGCCUGUGACGAAGCGUGAGUGACGGUAAUGGGUAAAGAAGCACCGGCUAACUACGUG
rnacentral:rRNA from 1 species